rnacentral:rRNA from 1 species
UACGGGGGGGCAAGCGUUGUUCGGAAUUACUGGGCGUAAAGGCUCGUAGGCGGCCAACUAAGUCAGACGUGAAAUCCCUCGGCUUAACCGGGGAACUGCGUCUGAUACUGGAUGGCUUGAGUUUGGGAGAGGGAUGCGGAAUUCCAGGUGUAGCGGUGAAAUGCGUAGAUAUCUGGAGGAACACCGGUGGCGAAGGCGGCAUCCUGGACCAAUACGUGACGCUGAGGAGCGAAAGCCAGGGAGCAAAGCGGGG